rnacentral:misc_RNA from 1 species
UCAAUAUACACACCAUGGAUCAUGAAAUCAACAUACACAACAGAGGGAAAGACAAAGAGAAUUAUGUGCCAUUUGAUAUUGAAAAUGGGUCUCCCAAGGAGAUACGACCAUCAAAUAGUAGUGAUGAUACUGCUGAUUCUUUUGGUAAUCAUGAAAAGUUGCCACUGAAGACUAAGAGCCCUGUGUCUGCUGCUGAUGUGUUGAAGACUUUGUUUUUUAUACUUGUUUGGUACACUUUCAGCACAUUUUUGACCUUGUAUAAUAAAACUCUCUUAGGGGAUGAUUUGGGAAAAUUCCCAGCCCCAUUACUGAUGAAUACCAUCCAUUUUGCAAUGCAAGCUGUUUUGUCAAAGUUUAUCACAUGUUUUUGGUCUCAUAGAUUUCAACUCAGUGUUGCUAUGACAUGGAGGGAUUAUUUUAUGAGAGUUGUACCAACAGCUCUUGGAACAGCAUUGGACGUUAACCUGAGCAAUGCAUCCCUUGUUUUCAUCUCUGUCACAUUUGCCACAAUGUGUAAAUCUGCAUCUCCUAUAUUUCUCCUUCUAUUUGCUUUUGCAUUCAGGUUGGAGUCUCCAAGCUUUAGACUUUUGGGUAUCAUCUUAAUAAUCUCUGUUGGAAUCUUAUUGACAGUGGCAAAGGAGACAGAAUUUGAGUUUUGGGGAUUUGUGCUUGUUAUGCUUGCUGCUGUUAUGUCUGGGUUUCGCUGGUCCAUGACUCAAAUUCUUCUGCAGAAAGAAGAAUAUGGUUUGAAAAAUCCACUUACAUUGAUGAGUUUUGUGACUCCAGUGAUGGCAAUUGUAACUGCUCUUUUUUCUCUUAUGUUUGAUCCAUGGUAUGAAUUUAGAAAGAGCAGUUACUUUGAUAAUUCUUGGCACAUUGCGCGGAGCUGCUUCUUGAUGUUUUUUGGUGGAACACUGGCCUUUUUCAUGGUUUUAACGGAAUAUGUUCUUGUUUCAGUAACUAGUGCUGUCACAGUGACUAUUGCAGGUGUUGUCAAGGAGGCUGUCACCAUAUUGGUUGCAGUCUUUUACUUCCAUGAUGAAUUUACAUGGUUGAAAGGUGUUGGCCUUUUAAUCAUAAUGUUGGGCGUGAGUUUAUUCAACUGGUACAAGUAAGUCAUCAAUCAGUAUAGUAUUAAAAUGAUUUAGUAUGUCUUGUUUUCAAUGGCCAUUUUCUCUCCUCAGUCAGUUGAUUAUUGUUUCUAUAUUUGCUUUUCUUGGUCUUCAAUAGUUUAAAAGAUCUGAACCAUGGGUGAAUGAAAUUUGACAUUUAGACUAAGGAAUGUGGAGGCCUUUGGUUGAUUCAGUCCUGAACACUUUUGUUUUCAUUCUCAAGUUUCGAAGGCAUAUCUUGAUUUGUUAUUACUAGAAAGGAAAGUUGUCCGCUUCAGUUCCAAAAUAUAAGUGGUUUUCUUGGCUCUUUAGUGCUGCAUUUGACUUUUUGAAUGAAACUUAAACAGUUGCAUUGAUGUCAAAUAUGCAACCUGAGCUGACCAAUUACAAAUCUGAAUUUUCUGGUUCAGGCCAGUUCAUGUUAGUUGGUUGUCACAUUUGAGUAGCUGGAGCACUAGUUUCUGUACUAUACUAACUGGUCAAGCCAACUAUUAGCAUAUAUAAUUUGUUCAUGACUUAAUUUUGUUGACUUAUUUUUCUGUAUCAGUCUCACCAUGUCAACAUAAAACAAGCCAUACAUUAUUUCUCCGUUUGCAUACUUGAUUGAAUCAGUUAAGCAGAAAACCUUGAUCUGUCUUGAAGUUUGAUUCUGAAUUUCUGACUGAUGGAAUCCAUUUUAACCUUAAAUGAAAGAAAGAUGGAAGAGUGUCACUGAAACCAUUAAUAAAGAACCAAAUCCCUUGUCAAGUCGUGGAACAUUGAAGGAAAGGAUACAAUAUAUCUUGCAGCUUUGACUCCUACAUUUGACUUGGUCUUUCAUCCUAGAUUUUACUCUCAUCAAAGUCGUACGUCAAAUUAGUCGUACAUUCAAUUUCUAUUCAAUUGAAAUUUUGCUAAUGUAGGCUGUUUAUCAUAUUACCGUAUUUGCAAUACUAAUUUCAUGCUUAUUCAGAUAUGAAAAGCUACAAAAGCGUCA